rnacentral:rRNA from 1 species
CCUACGGGGGGCAGCAGUAGGGAAUCUUCCACAAUGGACGCAAGUCUGAUGGAGCAACGCCGCGUGAGUGAAGAAGGUUUUCGGAUCGUAAAGCUCUGUUGUUGGUGAAGAAGGAUAGAGGCAGUAACUGGUCUUUAUUUGACGGUAAUCAACCAGAAAGUCACGGCUAACUACGUGCCAGCAGCCGCGGUAAUACGUAGGUGGCAAGCGUUGUCCGGAUUUAUUGGGCGUAAAGCGAGCGCAGGCGGAAUGAUAAGUCUGAUGUGAAAGCCCACGGCUCAACCGUGGAACUGCAUCGGAAACUGUCAUUCUUGAGUGCAGAAGAGGAGAGUGGAAUUCCAUGUGUAGCGGUGGAAUGCGUAGAUAUAUGGAAGAACACCAGUGGCGAAGGCGGCUCUCUGGUCUGCAACUGACGCUGAGGCUCGAAAGCAUGGGUAGCGAACAGGAUUAGAUACCCUUGUAGUC